CCUAUUCACUUAUUUUUUGUUUUCUGUGUUAUUUAGUUUUGUCAGUGCUCUGAUCUAUAACAAUGGGUUGGGACAUUUUAAUCGAUGUGCUUUUGAGUUGUUGUUGGAUUAUUUAAUUAAUCGAGUGUUAUUUUAGUGAGAACUAUAAAGCAUGUUUAAAGUUGAUUUAUGUUGCUAUAUUAUGUUUUAUUUGAAAGAUAAAUGUUUGCGAGUAUGUAU
rnacentral:lncRNA from 1 species